CUGUGUCCAGUGGUUAUAAUGGAGCUUUGCUGGUGUGUGGAGCGUCCACAGAGAGGAUUUGCACUCUGAUAGACCACAGCAUCAUCAAACAGCUCCUGGCAAAUCUGUUUGGUCGUACGUUGUCACAAGAGAAAGAGGAAAUGUUCAUCUCUGUGUCGUUCCUUCAGUUUUAUCCAGAUGGCAGCGCUGUAGAUCUUCUGAGCGCCAACGGUCACUCUCUAAAACUUGUCACACACCCAGUCCUUGGAAGUCUUGUAGGAGGCGUGUGUGAAGUGUGUGUGGGUUCACAAGAGGACGCAUGUGCUCUGUAUGAGUCAUGUAAGGACAGAAUGAGGGCCAGAGGAGGCGUC